rnacentral:lncRNA from 1 species
AACCAAAGGACGAAAAUCAUCAAACGUCAACGGAAUAAUUUCAAAAUUCUGAAUGAAAAUGAUUAGUAGUUUAUUACGGGUGGAGGAAGUGUUCGAAGAGCCAGGCGCGGAGGACGGAGACAGGUCUCUCAAGUAAGCCUCUCUUAGGUAUCCCAGCGCUGUCAAGCCUCUCUGAGGUCUCCAAGCGUUGUGCUGCAUCAUUCCAAUCUGCUGAAGAGCCCGCUGCUGCCGGAGAUGAUGAUCCACGAAUUUUAGCCUCGAACCUUCCAUUUUCCGCUGAGUUUCCUCUUCCCCUAAGCUCUUGUUCGCCGCCUUGAUUUGGCCG